CGAGGGGCAGCAUGAAGUUUGCUUGCAAACUUUGAUGGCGACCGGCGCACGGGUGAGUAACGCGUAUCCAACCUUCCCUAUAGUAGAGAAUAGCCCGGCGAAAGUCGGAUUAAUGCUCUAUGUUAUUCAAAGCGGACAUCUAAUUUGAAUCAAAGGUUCACCGCUAUAGGAUGGGGAUGCGUCUGAUUAGCUUGAUGGCGGGGUAACGGCCCACCAUGGCGACGAUCAGUAGGGGUUCUGAGAGGAAGGUCCCCCACAUUGGAACUGAGACACGGUCCAAACUCCUACGGGAGGCAGCAGUGAGGAAUAUUGGUCAAUGGGCGAGAGCCUGAACCAGCCAAGUAGCGUGCAGGAUGACGGCCCUAUGGGUUGUAAACUGCUUUUAUGCGGGGAUAAAGUCGGCUACGCGUAGCCGUUUGUAGGUACCGCAUGAAUAAGGACCGGCUAAUUCCGUGCCAGCAGCCGCGGUAAUACGGAAGGUCCGGGCGUUAUCCGGAUUUAUUGGGUUUAAAGGGAGCGCAGGCCGGAGGUCAAGCGUGACGUGAAAUGUAGGGGCUCAACCUUUGAAUUGCGUCGCGAACUGGUUUCCUUGAGUGAGUACGACGUCAGCGGAAUUCGUGGUGUAGCGGUGAAAUGCUUAGAUAUCACGAAGAACCCCGAUUGCGAAGGCAGCUGACGAGUCCUUUACUGACGCUAAAGCUCGAAGGUGCGGUAUCGAACAGGAUUAGAUACCCUGGUAGUCCGCACGGUAAACGAUGGAUGCCCGCUGUUUGCGAUAUAUUGUAAGCGGCCAAGCGAAAGCGUUAAGCAUCCCACCUGGGGAGUACGCCGGCAACGGUGAAACUCAAAGGAAUUGACGGGGGCCCGCACAAGCGGAGGAACAUGUGGUUUAAUUCGAUGAUACGCGAGGAACCUUACCCGGGCUUGAACUGCAGGAGAACGAUCCAGAGAUGGUGAGGCCCUUCGGGGCUCCUGUGGAGGUGCUGCAUGGUUGUCGUCAGCUCGUGCCGUGAGGUGUCGGCUUAAGUGCCAUAACGAGCGCAACCCCUUUCGCCAGUUGCCAUCAGGUGAUGCUGGGCACUC
rnacentral:rRNA from 1 species